CCCGCCCACGCCGCGCGCGCGGCCCCCGGGCAACCGGCACAACACAACAAAAUGGCCGCUGCGUCGCUGGACGCCUGAAAGGAAGAAGCUGCGCGUCUCCAGCCCGCCUCGUCCCACGGGCCUGUUCUGCUCGGCUCCCUGGCGGUUUUGAUGGACACCCGGCUUUAUUCUUGCCAUGAAGAAAAGUUCUCAACAAAAAUUUUCCAGUGCAAAGAUGCCCCCAUCACCUCACUCUCCUAGUCUACCAUCCCUUGUGUCCAGUAUGAGAUCUAGGUCACUUUCACCUCUAAGUGGAUCUGAGACUCUUCGUUUUGGAGGACAAUGGAAUGAGCAAGUUGAGAUUACAGAUGGAAACAUGGUGCUUUUGGACUACCAAGACCAUAAAGAAGCUGAUGCACAUGCAGGAAUCCGAUAUAUUACAGAGGCCCUUGUUAAAAAACUUACUAAACAGGACAAUUUGGCCUUGGUAAAGUCGCUGAACCUUUCACUUGCUAAAGAUGGUGGCAAGAAAUUUAGGUAUAUCGAAAAUUUGGAAAAAUGCGUUAAACUUGAAGUACUGAAUCUCAGCUAUAAUCUAAUAGGGAAGAUUGAGAAAUUGGACAAGCUGUCAAAAUUACGUGAACUCAACUUAUCAUAUAACAAAAUCUGCAAAAUUGAAGGCAUAGAAAAUAUGUAUAAUCUGCAAAAGCUAAACCUUGCAGGAAAUGAAAUUGAACAUAUCCCAGUAUGGUUAGGGAAGAAGUUAAAAUCUUUGCGAGUCCUCAAUCUGAAAGGCAACAAGAUAUCAUCGCUCCAAGAUGUAAGCAAGUUGAAACCACUUCAAGAUUUGACUUCUCUGAUCCUACUUGAAAAUCCAAUUGUGACCCUUCCUCAUUACAUCCAGUUUACCAUUUUUCAUCUUCGCUCAUUGGAAAGUUUGGAAGGUCAGCCAGUAUCUACCCAGGACAGACAAGAAGCUUUUGAGAGAUUCAGCUUAGACGAGGUAGAAAGACUGGAAAGGGAUCUGGAGAAGAAGAUAAUGGAAACUGAAGAGCUUAGGAGUGAGCAGACAAGGUUCCUUGAGGAAAUUAAAAGUCAAGAUAAAUUGAACAAAUCACUGAAAGAGGAGGCCAGGUUACAAAAACAGAGCUAUGAAGAGAUGGAGAGUAACCUGAACACAAAAAAUGAAUUGCUAAAACAGAAGACCAUGGAACUAAUGCGAGCAUGUCAGAAACAGUAUGAGAUGGAACAGGAAUUGGCCUUUUAUAAAAUUGAUGCCAAAUUUGAGCCACUAAAUUAUUACCCAUCAGAGUAUGUUGAAAUUGAUAAAACCCCAGAUGAAAGCCCUUACAUUGGCAAAUCCAGAUACAAGAGAAAUAUGUUCACUACAGAGAGUUAUAUCAUUGCAAAUGCCCAGACAGUAAAGAUCAAGAAGAUGGAGCCAGACGAAGGGGAACAACUCAGAAAUGAGCAUGUGAACUUGGGAGCCCAUACAUCACUGGACAUACAACUGGAAGACAAAGAAAAAAAAAUAAGUGCAGCACAAACUCGACUAUCAGAACUACAUGAUGAAAUAGAAAAGGCAGAACAACAAAUUUUAAAAGCUACUGAAGAAUUUAAACAGCUGGAAGAAGCUAUACAACUUAAAAAAGUUUCAGAAUCGGAGAAAGACCUUCUUUUCAAGCAGUUGAGUGGUAGGAUACAGCUUCUCAAUAAAUUACGCCAAGAAGCUGUGGAUCUAGAAACGCAGAUGGAAAAGCAAAGCCAAGAAAUUGCUGAAAAGCAGAAUGAAAUCAAGGACCUGCAAAUAGCCAUCGAUAGCCCGGAUUCCAGAGACCCAAAACAUUGCCAUAUGAAGGCUCAGAAAAGAGGUAAAGAACAACAACUUGACAUUAUGAACAAGCAGUACAAACAACUUGAAAGCCAUUUGGAUGAGAUACUUUCUAGAAUUGCCAAAGAAACUGAAGAGAUUAAGGACCUUGAACAACAGCUUACUGAAGGACAAAUAGCAGCAAACGAAGCACUGAAGAAGGAUUUAGAAAGUGUCAUCAGUGGAUUGCAAGAAUACCUGGAGACUGUCAAAGGCCAGGCCGCUCAGGCCCAGAAUGAGUGCAGAAAGCUACAGGAUGAGAAAGAGACAUUGCUGCAGAGAUUGAGUGAGGUCGAGCAGGAGAGGGACCAACUGGAAAUAGUGGCCAUAGAUGCAGAAAAUAUGAGGAAGGAGCUCGCAGAACUAGAGAGUGCCCUCCAGGAGCAGCAUGAGGUGAAUGUGUCCCUGCAGCAGACCCAGGGAGAUCUCAGUGCCUAUGAGGCUGAGCUAGAGGCUCAGCUGAAAAUACGGGAUGCUGAAGCCAGCCAGCUCAAGGAGGAGUUGGAAGAACUUAGAAGGCUCAGCCAGUUAGAACAAUCGGCCCUUCAAGAGGAACUUGAGAAGGAAAAGCAAGCCCUCAAGAAUGCGGUCAGAAAAGCCCAGCUCUCAGAAGGAAAGGACCAAGAAAAUAGUGAGCUCCGCGCACAGCUCAGACAGCUGCAGGAUGACAAUGACCUAUUAAAACAGCAACUUAAAGAUUUCCAGAGUCACCUUAACCAUGUGGUUGAUGGUUUGAUUCGUCCAGAAGAAGUGGCAGCUCGUGUGGAUGAGCUAAGGAAAAAACUGAAGUCAGGAGCUGGGGAGAUGAGAAUCCAUACUUCUUCAGAUGUCUUAGGGAAAAGUCUUGCUGAUUUGCAGAAACAAUUCAGUGAAAUCCUUGCACGCUCCCAGUGGGAGAAACAGGAAGCCCAAGUGAGAGAGAGAAAGCUCCAGGAAGAAAUGGCCCUGCAGCAAGAGAAACUGGCAAGCGGACAAGCAGAGUUCAGGCACGCCUGCGAGAGGGCCCUGGAAGCACGGAUUAGUUUUGAUAAGAGGCAGCACGAAGCAAGAAUCCAGCAGUUGGAGAAUGAAAUUCACUAUUUGCAAGAAAAUCUAAAAAGUAUGGAGGAAAUCCAAGGCCUUACAGAUCUCCAACUUCAGGAAGCUGAUGAAGAGAAGGAGAGAAUUCUGGCCCAACUCCGGGAGUUAGAGAAAAAGAAGAAACUUGAAGAUGCCAAGUCUCAGGAACAAUUUCUUGGUUUAGAUAGAGAAUUGAAGAAACUAAAGAAAGCCGUGGCCGCCUCUGAUAAGCUAGCCACGGCUGAGCUCACCAUUGCCAAAGACCAGCUCAAGUCCCUUCAUGGAACUGUGAUGAAAAUUAACCAGGAGCGAGCAGAGGAGCUGCAGGAGACGCAGAGGUUCAGCAGAAAGGCAGCGCAAGCGGCCAGGGAUCUGACCCGAGCCGAAGCGGAGAUUGAACUCCUGCAGAACCUUCUUAGAGAUAAAGAGGAGCAGUUUCAAAAUGAGAUGGAGAAAGUUGGCACUGGAGGAGUGAAUUCACAGGUGCUGGAGUUGGAGGCACUAAAUGAGACAAUGGAGAGACAAAGGACAGAGAUCGCAAGGCUGCGGAAUUUACUGGACCUCACCGGGGCUGAUGUUAACAAAGGAAGCUUUGAAAAUAUUUUGGAAGAAAUUGCCGAACUUCGACGUGAAGUUUCUCAUCAGAAUGAUUACAUCAGCAGCAUGACCGAUCCUUUCAAAAGACGAGGCUAUUGGUACUUUAUGCCACCACCGACAUCAUCAAAAGUUUCCAGCCACAGCUCCCAGGCCACCAAGGACUCUGGCGUUGGCCUAAAGUACACGGCCUCAACUCCUGUUAGACAACCACGUCAUGGACAGCAGGAUGGAAAGCACGACAGUGGGCCUCCACCUGUCUCAGGAUACUGGGUGUAUUCUCCCAUCAGAAGUGGGUUACGUAAAUCGUUUUCAAAUAGAGAUGCAGACAGCGGAGGAGAUAGCCAGGAAGAGAGCCAAAUGGAUGACCAAGAGGUCCAGUCAUUUGUACCUCCCCCCGGAUACAUGAUAUACCCUGUGUUUCCUGAUGGUUCUCCUGUACCCCAGGGCAUGGCCCUGUAUGCACCCCCUCCUCCCUUACCCAACAAUAGCCAACCUCUCAACCCUGGGGCUGUUGUUUAUGGCCCACCUCCUGUUGGGGCUCCCAUCGUGUAUGGUCCUCUACCUGCCAACUUGUCUGUACCCCACAUCCCUGUGGGGGUGCUGCAUUGCAACGUCCCAGAACACCAUAACUUGGAGAAUGAAGUUUCUAGAUUAGAAGACAUAAUGCAGCAUUUAAAAUCUGAGAAACAGGAACCGUGCAUGAGAGCAUCUAAGCGGCAGUCGGAGAAAGAACUGGAAGAACUGCAUCAUAAUAUUGAUGGUCUUUUGCAAGAGAAGAAAGACUUAGAGUAUGAAGUAGAAGAAUUACAUAGAACCAUCCAGAAACAUCAACAGCGAAAAGACUUCAUAGAUGGAAAUGUUGAAAGUCUUGUGAAUGAACUAGAAAUAGAGAAGUCACUCGAACACCAUGAAGAUAUUGUUGAUGAAAUUGAGUGCCUCGAGAGGACCCUUCUGAAGCGUCGCGCAGAGCUCAGGGAAGCCGACCGCCUGCUGGCAGAGGCCGAAAGGGAGCUUUCAUGCACGAAAGAGAAAACCAAAAAUGCUGUUGAGAAGUUCGCUAAUGCCAAGAGAAAUUUAUUGCAAACCGAGAAAGAUGCUGAGGAGUUAGAAAAGAGAGCCCAGGAAACUGCUGUUAACCUUGUCAAAGCCGACCAGCAGCUCAGGUUGCUCCAGGCUGACACAAAGGAUUUGGAGCAGCACAAAAUGGAGCAAGAGGAAAUCUUGAAAGAAAUAAACGAAGUUGUGGCGGCAAAAGACUCAGACUUCCAGUGUCUAAACAUGAAGAAGGAGGUCCUGACGGGAGAGCUGCAGCAACUGCAGAAGGACAUCGAGACCGCACAGCACAGUGAGGGUUACCAUCUGCAGGUCCUCAGAGAGUCAGAGAACCUCCUGCAGGCCAAGAAAGCUGAGCUGGAAAAGCUGAAAAGGCAGGUGUCAGGUCAGCAGCAGGAGACGGCCGUCUUGGACAGGCAGUUAGGGCGUAAAAAGGAAGAACUGCAUCUCCUCCAGGAAAGCAUGGUCCAGGCCAAAGCUGACCUCCAGGAAGCGCUGAGACUGGGAGAAACCGAAGUAAUUGAGAAGUGCAAUCACAUUCGGGAAGUAAAAUCUCUUCUGGAAGAACUCAGUUUUCAGAAAGGAGAACUGAAUGUCCAGAUUAGUGAAAAAAAAACUCAACUCGCACUCAUAAAGCAGGAAAUUGAGAAAGAGGAAGAAAAUCUUCAGGUAGUUUUAGGACAAAUGUCUAAACAUAAAACUGAACUAAAGAAUAUUCUGGACAUGUUGCAACUUGAAAACAAUGAGCUGCAAGGUUUGAAGCUACAGCAUGAUCAAAAGGUGUCUGAAUUAGAGAAGACUCAGGUUGAAGUGCUGGAGGAGAGACUGGAGUUAGAGAGCCUGCAGCAGACGGCCCUGCGACAGAGAGGGGAGAUAGAGUGGCAGAAGCAGCUCCUCGAGAGGGACAAACGGGAAGUAGAGCAGAUGACUGCUGAGACCCGAGCGUUACAGUCGUCUAUUGAGUCUUUGUGCAAAGAAAAGAAAGAUCUCGAAGGAAAACAGGACAGCUGGGAAAAGAAGUUGGCACAGACCAAACGGGUUUUAGCAGCGGCAGAAGAGAAUAGCAAAAUGGAGCAAGCAAACUUGGAAAAGUUGGAAUCGGAUGUCAGAAAGCUGCAGCAGGAGCUAGAUGGACUCAACAGAGAGAAGCUCUCACUGCAGGAAGACCUGAGAGCAGCUCAGCAGCAGCUGCAAGAAAAACGAGAAGCAAUAAAGUCACUACAGAAGGAACUAGCUGAUGUCCAAGACCAUUUGAACCUAGCGAGACAGGACGUGCUUCACACCACCAAGCAUAAGGACGUGCUGCUUAGUGAACAGACCAGGCUCGAGAAGGACAUCAGUGAAUGGAUGAAGAGGCUUGAAGACUGCCAGAAAGAAGGGGAGACAAAGCAGCAACACCUUCAAGCGCUUCAGAAUGAGAUUGAAGGAAACAAGACUAAGCUAGCCCAACAAGAAAUGAUGUUUCAGAGACUGCAGAAAGAGCGAGAACGUGAAGAAAAGACGUUAGAAGCCAGGAAAGUGGCUCUGAUGGAGCAGCAGCAGCAGCUCGAAGGGGAGAUAGGCGAGCAGAAAGGCAGGCUGGACCAGGUGCUCGCCAAGCUGUUGGCGGCGCAGGAGCGCGUCAGGACCUUGCAGGAAGAGGAGAGGUGGAGUGACACCCUGGAGAAAACGCUCUCCCAGACCAAACGACAGCUUUCAGAACGGGAACAGCAGUUAUUGGAAAAGUCAGGUGAGCUGCAGGCUCUCCAGAAAGAGACAGACUCUAUGAGGGCAGACUUUAGCCUCUUACGGAACCAGUUCUUGACAGAAAGAAAGAAAGCUGAGAAGCAAGUUGCCAGCCUGAAGGAAACACUAAAGAUCCAGCGGAGCCAGCUGGAGAAGAACCUUCUGGAGCAAAGGCAGGAGAACAGCUGCAUGCAGAAGGAGAUGGCAACGAUCGAACAGGUGGCCCAGGACAACCAUGAGCGGGCCAGGCGCCUAAUGAAGGAGCUCAACCAGAUGCAGCAUGAGUACACGGAGCUCAAGAAACAGAUGACAAACCAAAAAGAUCUGGAGAGAAGACAGAUGGAAAUCAGUGACGCCAUGCGAACACUUAAAUCUGAGGUGAAAGAUGAAAUCAGAACCAGCCUGAAGAAUCUCAACCAGUUUCUUCCAGAACUACCAGCAGAUCUGGAGGCUAUUUUGGAAAGGAAUGAAAACGUAGAAGGAGGGUUGGAAAGCUUGAAAGAGAACUUCCCAUUCACCAUGAGUGAGAGACCAUCACCUUUUGAAGAAAAACUGAACUUUUCCCAGACUCACAUAAUGGAUGAACACUGGCGUGGAGAAGCACUCCGAGAGAGACUGCGUCACCGUGAAGAUCGACUCAAGGCCCAGCUUCGACACUGUAUGUCCAAGCAAGCAGAAGUGCUAAUUAAGGGGAAGCGGCAGACAGAGGGCACGUUACACAGCUUGAGAAGACAAGUGGAUGCUUUAGGGGAACUGGUCACCAGCACUUCUGGAGACUCCACAUCGUCACCCGGUCUGUCUCAGACAGAGUUUUCCGUGGCCCAGGAUGCUCAGCCUGGACCAAGCCAAAGCUCCUUCCAAGUACUACAGUGUCCGUCACCAUUACUAGACAGUGACCGACACUGACGCCAUCCCUAAUCCUGCUCGUGGGGUACAUGUUACAGAGUUCUUUUAACUACCACUUUCAAUUGGAACAUGCUGAAUUCUCGCUUAUCCUACAGUCAAGUAACCCUUUAACUUUACUCUUGGAUAAUUUUGUACAGUGGUUCAUCUCAAAAUAUUUUUCCAAAGAGGAAAAGAACUGCUCAGCCAGAUGAGGAAAUCUCUGAGGAAACCCCUUCUCUACUACCUCCCUGCAGGACUGGAAGGCCACUCAGUUUCGCUCCAGAUGCGGUGAACUCCAAUGCUGCACCUCCGCUGUAGCUCAGCUCACUGUGCUGAAUGCCGGGGUUUCUGUAAAUCACAUGUACAUAUGGGAAGAGUUGUAUACAGUUUAAACCUGGAUGGCUGGGAGGGUUGUUUUUUUACUUUUGAAAUGUGUUGCCAUAAAACCAGUGAUUGUAAUUGCAAAUUUGAGGCUAUAAAUUGGUAAAAUCUAUAGCUACAAAGAAAAAAAAAUGUACUCAAGCCCUUCAUUUAUAGUGUCAAAUUUUAUUUUUGAAUUUUAUUUAAAAUCUCUAUUUUCAUAUGAAAAUAAAAGAUAAAAUAGUCUGUCAUCUGACUUUACAUUUCAUAGAUCUACAGUAAAGCCAUCAAACAUUUACCUUCGUUCCAAGAAAACGGCAAUUCCAAAUGGCUCUCCAUCUUUGGCCUGGAGAUUGAAGUAUGUUGUACCUGUCAAUGAACCUAUACCACAUGGAAAUAGCUUUUAUAAAAACUACUACACUUGAGGUGCUUUUCCUCAACCAAAAAUAUUCUUUGGUGGAAAAUUAGCAGAAUCUGACCCGGUGGUAAAUUCAAAUUGUGUUCGACUUUUAAAUCUUUGAGCUACUGUAAUUAAUGGCUCCGCUCCAUGAUCUACAAAUACAUUAUUUCUCUAAAAACAAGAAUAGCAACUACUGUCACAAAAGACCAUGUGGCAAUAGACUUCUCAUGGGUAAGAGGAAGUAUGAAACUACAUGUUCUAGAUUAGGUUUUAAAAUACUCCCAAGGCCUGUUCUCUAGGCCUGUAGAUAGCUUCUGAACCAUAACCAUAAAGAAUGGUGCAGUGCAGUCAUCCCUCUCCACCCACGGACGUUUGCAUUCCCAAGAAGUUGUUUGGCCAGACCUGGACCAUUAAUUAAGGUAUGGGAUAAACAGAAUUACAGUAAAGGCAAUGGAAGUGGUAGAACACAGCAAAUUCUAGAAAACAUCUACUUCCAAAAUAAAAAUUGGUUUGUUGUGUAUCUUUUGUACUUCACAUUCUCCUUUCAUUUUCACAGGCCUUAGCAAAAUGCUGAAAAGUCAGGCCUCUGCACAAUUACUGAAAUCACUCAGGGACACUUUUUCCCACCCAUUCUGUCCCUAUGCUGACUGAGGGUAAAAUAUCUUCUUUCUAAACUGCCACAUGAACCCUCUCUAUUCCCGUGGACAGGAAUGGAAGGUAAUCAUUCGGUGUAAGGGGGAGUGACUUGAACCAGACAUCUAUACAGAAAGGUAACACCUGAAACAACGGAUAUGUGAGCAAAAAAGUUCUCUAAAAAAACAAAACAAAACUAUAGUCUGGAAUUAGGGGAGGUAACUAAUAUGUGAAGCCAAACACCUGGUUCCAAAAAAGACAUCUUUCCGAAGAAACUUUUACUACCUCUAGUAUUAUGUGAACAUCACCACCAAAAAAAAUUUUUUUAAUCAAGGUUACUGCAUCAAACACUUUAUUAUCCAUGAAAAACACUUGAACAUUGCACUGGAAUAUCUAACCCAUAAAGAGUACUGAGCACCAAUUUACUAAUCAAGAGGGCCUCCUCAGAGGUGCAAGGUUAACAAGUAACCCAGAGAAGCAGGUGGCCCCACAAGUAGUAGUAAACUCUCAUGGAUUAAAGAUUAAUAAAAGAACUUCACAUUCUCUCCAAAGUGUACUUGCCCAGUGUCUGGCACAGGUAUGUUACAAUAUGACAACUUGCUAUUUUUGAGCACCCAAGUUUAUUACAGGGGAUUACACAUGCAAACAACAGAAUUUGGCCCCAAGUACAGUCAAGGGAGAACAUUAUCAGGCACCAAGUGUGCUGAUCUCACACUGAAAAAGGUCUACUGAAAACACUGCAAGUGUGAUCCAAACACAAGGACAAAACUAAGUCAAUUACUGAGUGAUGUGGAGGUAUAUGCUAUAUACGUAGACUUCUCUUUAUACAAUAAGGACAAUUCUCCAAUAAAAACUGACAACUUCUGCCAAAUAAUUGUUUGCCUGAAGAAAAUAUGAAAUCCUAUUGUAGUUCAGAAAAUAAUGCAAACCAUUUUAAUUUAAUCUAGAUACAGGUACUUUAUUUACAAAUAUUUAGAUUAAUAGCAUUUCGUUACAUCAAAUGAAGAGUACAGCAGUCUGAAUAAAUCCUGUCACAAAAACAAUUAAGACCCACUGUAACUAACUUUGGGAAUCGGGGUAUUGCACCUAAACAAGCCGCAGUUUUUAGUCUGUGAUUGCUACCUUAUAUCCCAAUGGGUGGUUGGUUUUUUGUAAAUAUAUACACACACCAGCAGGUCAUGGUCCCUGGGUGAGUCCCUUGUGAAGCAACAGGGUAAGCAAAAUGGGUCACUGAAAGUCUUUAACAGAAUAUACCAAUCUACUCCAAGAAUCUUCUUUUUAAAAAAGUUAAAGACAAAAAUAAAGAUGAGUCCACAAAUUAACCAAAUCCUAUUUUCUGCACAUUCCAGUUUUGGCUUUUAUUUAACAUUGACUAUACAAUACUCCAGUACUACCACGUUUACAACCCAGAAAGCCGUAUUUUUUAUUUUUACUUUAGUGUCUGUAAAGAGGGAUUUAAAAUGUGUAUUUUAAACACAGCAGUUGAGCUGAGUGAUUUUAUAGAACAUACUAAGGUUUACCUAUCCUACUUCAAAUAACCUCAGUUCUCCAUCUUAACCAGGAACUCAAUCAGAAAUCAAUCAAAAGAAAUGAAGAACUUGGUAAAACAUAAGUCUGUUGUCUAAAGAGAUUGUUUCCCUUGCAAUACAGUAUUCUUUCAGUGGCCAAACCACCUAGUGCAAAGUAGUAACUUACUUUGUAUCAGCACAAACACUGAAACACCUCAGAAACACUUUCCCUUUUACAAAACAACUUAUGCCAACAUGACAUAAAAUAGCCCCUCAUACUACAAACACAUGGGAUAUCUUACAUUACUUCACUGUAGUGUUAAAAAUGCACAAUUUAAAAUCCCUUAACAGCAGACCUGCGGUUCUGACUGUCCGGUACACAAUCUCACCAUUCCGAGAAGAUAAAGGUAUAAAAGCUUAAAAUGUGCAAUAAUAAACCCAGCCUUUUUUCUUUUUCUAUACAGUAAGGCAAGAAAUGCAGCCUGUAAUGCAAAAAUGUUUACAAAGAGAAAAGCAGGUUAGCACAUUGUCGAUUGCACAAGAACAGUUAAGAAAAUCAGCAGGUAAGAAGCCACAGUGCAAAGAUGGAACAGCAUCUGCUAGUGUCAAUCCUCUCACGCUAGGAGCUCUUUCCAGCAUAAUGUCCCCAAACACUGCCAGCACCAGAGGCUGGAGCCAGUAUUACUUGUGAACUGCAGUUGUGUCUAUUUCCUUGUGUGAAAUGCAAGGGAGUAACAUGGUCACAUAUAGGUCAUACUGUACAAACUGGUAUUUUAUACUGUUCCAAUGCCAGUAAUCAAUUUAUUUUCUUCAUUAAAAUAAUAUACACAGAAUGUAUUGUUAGUUCGGUUCCUUCAAAUUUUAUACAUAUUUACUUUCUGCUAAAGAGAAAAGGAUAAAAUGGUGUAAAAAAAAGAAAGAUAAAGCUAUUAAUUAAGCACAACAGAAAAGUGGAUAUUUUCCCUGUGCAAGGCUAGGACAGAAGGAAACCUCCACAAGAAAAAUGCCACCCACACAACAGGAAAUUUAUCCAACGAAAACAAAA